GGAGAGAUGGCUGAGUGGUCGAAGGCGCACGAUUGGAAAUCGUGUGAUGGUUAAUAGCUAUCCGUGGGUUCAAAUCCCACUCUCUCCGC
rnacentral:tRNA from 1 species